rnacentral:rRNA from 1 species
UUACAGCCAUAUCAUGUUGAAACAUUGGUUCUCGUAUGAUCACCGAAGUUAAGCAAUGUUGAGCCUGAUCAGUACCUAGAUGGGUGACUGCUUGAGAAUACCAUGU